rnacentral:tRNA from 1 species
GCCGACGUGGCGGAAUGGCAGACGCGACAGACUUAGGAUCUGUUGACCCACAGUCGUGGGGGUUCAAAUCCCCCCGUCGGCA